AGUAGGAUGGCUGAGGGGAAUAGGCUAUAGAUUGUAAAUCUAUUUAGGGGAUAAUUCUCUUCUACUA
rnacentral:tRNA from 1 species